rnacentral:rRNA from 1 species
AUUGUACGCUGGCGGCAGGCUUAACACAUGCAAGUCGAGCGGAGAUGAGGUGCUUGCACCUUAUCUUAGCGGCGGACGGGUGAGUAAUGCUUAGGAAUCUGCCUAUUAGUGGGGGACAACAUUCCGAAAGGAAUGCUAAUACCGCAUACGCCCUACGGGGGAAAGCAGGGGAUCUUCGGACCUUGCGCUAAUAGAUGAGCCUAAGUCGGAUUAGCUAGUCGGUGGGGUAAAGGCCUACCAAGGCGACGAUCUGUAGCGGGUCUGAGAGGAUGAUCGGGCACACUGGGACUGAGACACGGCCCAGACUCCUACGGGAGGCAGCAGUGGGGAAUAUUGGACAAUGGGCGGAAGCCUGAUCCAGCCAUGCCGCGUGUGUGAAGAAGGCCUUUUGGUUGUAAAGCACUUUAAGCGAGGAGGAGGCUACCUGGAUUAAUACUCUAGGAUAGUGGACGUUACUCGCAGAAUAAGCACCGGCUAACUCUGUGCCAGCCGCCGCAGUAAAAC